UAGAAAAAUAACUGUGUGAUAGACUCUGAGUUAACACAAACAUAGAUUUUCUUAUUUCUUUUCAGGUAACAAAGACUUCAGGAAUCCGCAGAAUACUUCAGCUAGCAAAAUAUAAAUUAUGUACCAGUACAUUAUCAACUGUUGUAUCCUAAAAUUUCUGGACAAGCCUUAUUGUGCCUAUAAACUUCUUUCAUAGGAAUAUGAACCAUCAUCUAAACAAUUUUGCUGGAAUAAAAGAGCAUUUGCUGAUUGAAAGCAGAGGACUGAUUCAAGAUGAAUCUUGGUGAGGUAUGAGAUGUGUUGUUACCAUAGUGAACAAAGAGCAGAGAGAAGGGCAAUGGGAAACUGAGAAUGGGAAAAUGAAGUUUUGCACUGGUGGUGUGAACUCACACAUCUCCAUGGAACUUCAGGUCUGUGAAUAG
rnacentral:lncRNA from 1 species